GAGGCAAGCUCAUGCAAUUACUGUGUUGGGGAAAAGGGAGGAGAAGGGUACAUGAUGUGCACUCAAAAUGAGCCAAAUUCCUUAGUUAAGGAGGGUGUGGGUGAAGGGGGGAGGCAGACCCCUCAACCCUGGAUGAGGGAUGAUAUCUCUCAGGCUUAAAUAAGUGCACCUAGGUCCUUUAAUCCAGGCACUGGGGUACCUACUGAGGUUUUUAUUGGAGAGGGAAGAUUUUUCAGGGCUCUUAUUUUUCCCCUUUUGAUUUAAGACAGUGCUACCCCUCCACCCUACGUUCUCCAUCUCAGCCCUGAUGGAGCAAGUAUACUAUAGGAGAGGCCUCCAAAUUCCUCCCUUAAUCUAUGCUGGUUUUAUUGAGAGUUACAAGAUUUAACCAAACGUUUUUCCCUCACACUGGAUUCUAAAACAAAAGUAAAAGAUUAUAUUAAAAGUUUUUUUUUUUUAAGAUUCAGUCUCUUUAUGGAGUGCGGAUGGUGUUUAACUCAGUGCUGUACAGGGCCUGGAGGGAAGUUCCUUCCCUCUCCUGUUGGCUGUUUCUUCUCAAGUGAAACUAAAGCUCACAGACCAACACAACAGAAAUUAGCAAUGACUUUUUGUUGCAUAUUUGAGAAUGAUACUGAGCUGGAAAGAAUGGAGCUGGUUCUGAAUGAAUUCUGAGAACCUAGCUUUUGCUAUUCUUGCUACUUUCUAAACAGCCACAUGUCCAAGGUUCCAGUCACAUUUUAUCUUUCCCAAUAAAGGAGGUUCAAAGAUAAUUGUCCCCAGUUACUCGGACACCUAUGGACUCUGUUCUCUUCUUUCUCUAAGGAGUCAGUGCCCCAGACACACAACCACAGGUGAGAAGACAGACUCAGAAGCCCCUUCUCGGCCUGGAAUCACCUGCACCCCAGAUUUUUCUAAUUUCCUUUUCCCUCCAGGCCCUUCAACAACAGAUUCAGUGACUCAUGUAGGCAGUCUGUCUCUUUCACUUUGUAGAUACCUGGUCUGCAAAUUACAGGCUGUUUUGCCCCCUGAACUUAAGUUGACUAGCAAAAUAUCAUGACAUCCCCUAUGGAGACUUUCUCCAUGCCACCUCCCUUCACUGGCCACUUGGGUAAGGGGCAGUAGAAAAGAGAAAGGGAAGCUGGCUGACAGUGGCGCAGAGAGGAGUGGGGGUGGGGAGGACCUUGGCCUCUUUUCUGUGCUUAUAACUGGAUCUGUGACUCAUCUUGUGAGUCACUCAGCUCCACCUCCUUCCUCUAGCUGCCCCUCCCAGCAGUCUUCACUCCUGGCACAAACCUGCAACCAGACCAGGAUUCUGAAAAUGGAAAAAUCUGACACAGCCCCUUGCCUCUUCACCCUUCCUUUCAUCCACUAAACCUCUACUGGGUGUGUGUAGAAUGGACAGAGGGGGGUCCUCCUGUUACUUAACCCUCGGCUGCUGCCCCCUUUGCAUUCCUGGUGAGGUGCUGAUCCAAGUCACCCAUCUUUUUUCUGCCUGUGACCUUCCACCAUUCCCCUGAUGUUUUUUCUCUAUAUUCCUCUGCUGCUCCUACACCUCAAGUAUUAAAGAAUAGAAUGAGGCUCUUGAAUGAAGGGUGGUGGGGAGAAGGAAAGUGGAUCAUGGAUUUUUAAACUGUGGUACACAGCUCUUCCUAUUGCCACAGACCUUGGGAAAUAUUUUCUUCCCCCCAAGAGAUCGAGGCUGAUGGAAUGCAGGUGGGGGUGGCGUGGCUUGGUAGCUUUUAAGACUUCUAGAAUCAGGCUUCUGGGCUACCUUCCUAGCAGGUGUAUGCCUCUCUGUUCCAGACUGACUCCCUGCCUCAGAAUAUCUUCACUAUUUCCACAGUUGCAGCCAAGACAGGGAACUUUUAAAGCUGAGGCCGGAAGGGUGUGUGUGCUGGUGGGGGGGAAGAGAGAGUUGUCACUGGAAAACUGGGGCCCCCACCUAAGAAUUGCUGCCUCUGUACAAACUCAAAAUCAAUAAAACAGCAGCUCAUGAAUUC
rnacentral:lncRNA from 1 species